AUGAAAACACUCUGUUGGAACUACCGCGGGAUUGGCGAUCCCGCGACGGUUAGUGAGCUCCGCGAUCUCGUGGAGGCAUGUGUGCCGUCGGUCCUAUGUCUAGUUGAAACUUAGCUUGCUAAAGAUCAAGUGGAAGGUUUGGUAGCUACUUUAGGUUUUGCGGGAAGAUUUGUAGUUGCUACUAGUGAAUGCAGUGGCGGCCUAUGUAUUUUCUGGAAACAUGGCAUAAAUCUUGAAAUAAAGAAUUUUUCACAAUAUCACAUUGAUACAGUGAUUGUUGAACAGGGAAGAGAUCCCUGGUGCCUUUCAUGCUUUUAUGGAGAGGCCACAAGGAACUCGCAGUAUAAAACUUGGGACACGAUGAAGUUUCUGCGUGGGGAAAGCACACUUCAUUGGGUUUGUAUUGGGGACUUCAACGAGAUUCUCUGACCCGAAGAGCAAAUGGGAUCGAAUCCUAGAGAUGGCUCCCAAAUCACUGGUUUCAGAGAAGCUGUCGAUGUGUGCGAACUGGCUGAUCUGGGAUACAAG
rnacentral:rRNA from 1 species